rnacentral:tRNA from 1 species
GCCGGGGUGGCGUAGUUGGUAGCGCGUCGGACUCAUAGGGCAGUCUUCGGACUAUGUACGCGCUUGAGUAAUGCCGCUUGGGAUGCCUGAGUCAUCCGAAGGUCGCGGGUUCAAGUCCCGCUCCCGGCA